GUCAGGUGUCAUGGGGUCAUGGAUGCUGGUUCUGUGUACCACAGUCACUCUGAUGCCUGUGUGUCUUCAUGGAGCAAUAUCAGUCCGCUUUAAGACCGGACGGCCUCUCUAUGUGGCACUCGGCCGAACUCUUGUUUUGGAAGUCGAAUUCAAGAAGGACUCGGACGACAAAAUAGACAUGGUGACGUGGGACCGCGAGAGAGGAAAUGUCACUGUCAGACUGUCACAUGGAAACAGAAUAUCUUUGGAGAAUGGAGAUGCACUUCUGCGGGUCACUGAUGUUGCAGAAGGGGACCUUGCGAUCUACAAAGUCACCGUUACAGACAGUAACGGAUACCAGCAGCACGACUCCAUAGAAGUACGAAAGACAGUGGAAUCUCCAAAGGCGUCAAUUACACGUGUGCUGGAGUGUGUUGUGGAUAAUCAUGGCAUGACUCAGUGGGACAGCCCUCAGUUUUCAUGGCUGGUUGAUGGUGUUACAGUAACCAAUCAAUCCGCCCUGUUAACUAAUGGCAGUAGACUAGAUAUCUCUGGGAUUAAGGGUGUUAACUACACCUGCAUCAUCAACAGCAGCCUGGGGACACUCACAACACAUUAUGAAAUGCCAAAAGGUAUUGUUCAAUAUCAGAAUGUGUGUAAUUUUUUUAAUAUUUAGGUGAAAAAAGUCACUUUUGACUUCAAAAUGUUCACCAUAAAAUGCAAAAACAUUUAAAGAUAGAAAAAAAGGCAACACUUUACAAUAACUUCCCAUUAGUUAACAUUAGUUAAAGGAAUAUUUAACCCAAAAAUGAAAAUUUGAUCAGAUUUGGAGAAAUGUAGCAUUGCAUCACAUGCUCUGCAGUGAAUGGGUGCCGUCAGAAUGAGAGUCUGUUAAAACAUCACAAUAAUCCACAAGUAAUCCACAUCACUCCAGUCCAUCAGUUAACAUCUGGAGAAGACAAAAGCUGCAUGUUUGUAAGAAACAAAUGCAUCAAGAUGUUUUUAAUUUCAAACCAUUCCUUCUGGAUAAAUAUGAGUCAAUAAUCCAUAAUAACGCUUCCUCCAGGGAAAAAUCUCCUGUUGUCUCUCACAUCAAAAUCCAUCCACAUGUUUGUUUAGAGCUGUUUUUUCAUGUAAACGGUGCUUGAUCUUUGCAGAAUUCUCUCCUGAUUCAGACCAGUCCACUUUUUCACUGGAGAAAGCAAUAUUAUGGAUAGAGGACUUGUAUUUUAGCUGAAAGUGACAGGGUUGAACGACUUCUGAUUUUUAUGUGAUGAAAGUCGAGUCGAAGUCGACUAAUCGCUGAUGAUGUCAUUACUGAACAAAUAAUUCUGGAGCAGAGACUCAAACACCUUGUGCACAGCUGUGGCGUAUGACACAGUGCUACCCACGUGGCUAUUGCUCCUAUAACAGCUAAUUUUUAGCAGUUCUUUUGUCUUUGGGUCGAUAUAUUUCUCACAGAUUUCUGCUCGUUCUAAAUCAGAUACAGAUAAAGUAGCACAAUAAAGAUUUCAGUCAUAUGAAUGCGUGUGUGAAU
ensembl:lncRNA